rnacentral:rRNA from 1 species
AUACAGAGGGUGCGAGCGUUAAUCGGAAUUACUGGGCGUAAAGCGCGCGUAGGCGGUUUGGUCAGUCGGAUGUGAAAGCCCCGGGCUUAACCUGGGAAUUGCAUUCGAUACUGCCAAACUGGAAUGUAGUAGAGGGAAGUGGAAUUCAGGGUGUAGCGGUGAAAUGCGUAGAGAUCCUGAGGAACAUCAGUGGCGAAGGCGACUUCCUGGACUAACAUUGACGCUGAGGUGCGAAAGCGUGGGGAGCAAACAGGAUUAGAAACCCCAGUAGUCC